CUCAGGUCCAGGAUUAUCAGGAAGGGGUACCCAGGGCAGUGGGGUCCUUUAAAGAACGCGCCGUCCUGUGGCCUUCUCACUUCGGCGAAAUAGUCCCGCGGCUUCUGGAAAGUGUCCCAGGCAGGCUGCGGUCGCCUCUCCGCCUCCGAGCUGCUGCGCUGGUUGUCCGACUCGUUGACCAGGGACAACUUGACCUCGUCUAGGUCCCGCUGUGCCGAGGCGCUGUCGCUGCUCGGCUCCUGCUCCUCGCCCCCCUCAUCCUGGAAGGGGAUCAGCUCGUCGUUCGCCCCGAGGUCGUCCCCUCCGCCAGCCGCACCAGCGCUGGGGCCGCCGCCUCCACUGCCUCCACCGCCUCGGAGCUGGGAUGAGAAUGUGGAGCAACGGCAACUUUCAAACACCGCCUACUGUAAAGCACAUUGAGGCUGGGUGCAGUGGCUCACGCCUGUAAUCCCAACACUUCGGGAGGCUGAGGUGGAAGGAUUGUUUGAGGCUAGGAGUUUGAAACCAGCCUGGGCAACAGAGCAGGACCUAUCUCUACAAAGCAAAACAUAAGUCUAUCGAAGUCCAGACCAACUAUGAAGAUAGGAUGCCCAUCCAGAAGAACGGGAAGCAUUUUCUUCCUCACCUUUGGAAAGUAAAAAAAAAAAAGUAUUAAAUUUUCUCAAUGUAAAAACCUGUAUUUUAGAACCACUCUACAAUAUAAACAAAUGUCUUUUUUUAACUGAUGACAUGCCUUAUUUUUUGGGGGCAGGGGGUGGGGUUGAGACAGGGUCUUGCUCUGUCACCUUGGCUGGAGUGCAGCAGUGUGAUCAGACUUCAAUGUAGCCUUGAUCUCCCAGGCUCAAGUGAUUCUCCCACCUCAGCCUUCCAAGUAACUGAGACCACAAGGUGUGUGCCACCAUGCCUGGGCAAUUUUUUUUUUUUUUUUUGGAGAGAUGCAGGUCUCACUGUUUUAUAGGCUGGUCUCAAACUCCUGGGCUCAAGUGAUCCUCCCACUUCGGCUUCCCAAACUGUUGGGAUUAUAGUCAUAAGCCAUUGCAUCCAGUCAUAUAUCAUUCUUUAGACACAUUAUUUAGUAUUCUAAAUUUCUCUUUUUAAAGGCUAUUCUGAAUUUCCUGUUGAGCCAAUUUAACAGCUACUUUUAUAUUUUAGCUUUAAAACAUCGAUAAGCAACAUGAAGCAAUCUAGAACUUAACCUUUGAAUGGCUUUAUUAAAGAAAUCCAGCAAUGGAAAUUAUGUAGAAAUGAUUCUCUACAAACAAUCUUACCAGCAUAUAAGAAAUACUUCUAUUCUGAAAUAUCAUCUUCUCACAAUAUACUCUGAUGUUAUGAAUCAUCUAUUCUUGAACAUUAUUUACUGUCUUUCUCUAUUAAACAAUCUCAAAGUAAAGUUUCCAGCACAACUAAAUAUUGUUGACAAUAAGAGGACUUUUUUUUAAACAGAGGCUUAUAUACAACUUAGAAUCUAAAACCCAAUAGAUUUAUGGUAAACAUUAAAGCCAAACCAAAACAAAGAGAAAAAAAAGUUGUAAUCAUUUAAAAAUCACUUAAAAAUCAUGUUUAUUGAGUUCAAUUUACUUACAGUAAAAUCAACCCUUUUCAGCAUAUAGCACUGAGUCUUGACAAAUGCAGUUAUGCACCACCACUGACCAAGGCCUGCCACAUUUUCACCUUCUCAAAGUUCUCCCUGGCUUCUUCUCCCCCUCCUUGGCAACCACUAAUCUGUUUUCUGUUCUUGCAGUUCUGCUUUUUCAGAAUGUCAUAUAAGUAGAAUCACACUGUAAAUAGUCUUUUGAGUCUGACUUCUGUCACCUGGCAUAAUGAAUUUGAGAAUCAUCCAUGUUGCUGUACUGGCAGUGCAUUCUCUUUUAUUGAUGAGCAGUAUUCAGUUGCAUGGCUGUACCAGUUUUUCGUUUACUACUUGAAGGAUAACUGAGAAGUUCCCAGUUUUUAGCAAUUUUAAAGAAAGUUUCUAUGAAUAAUUGUGUACAGGUUUUUAAUUAAAUGUUUUGGAGAUAUAAUUCAUACAUCACAUAAUUCACCUUUUUAAACUGCACAAUUCACUGGUUUUAAAUAUAUUCACAAGGUUUGCGCACAGGUUUUUGUGUGAAUCCUAGUUUUCAUUCCUCUUGGAUAAAGAGAUUUCAUUUGGUAUAUCCCUUCUAGACACCUUUCUGUGUUUUCAUGCUUAUGUAUGUACCACAGUUUGAUAACAGGCAGAGAAGCAUUUUCAAAAUUUUAUAUGGGGAAACUCUUUCUAGAGUUAAAGCCAUUUUGAUUUAUUUUUCUGUUCUGAUUUUAUCUGUGUAUUAUUUACAAUCUGCUUCAUAACAAAUUACUACAAACUUAGUACCUUAAAACAAAACAUGCUUGUUAUUUCACAGUUUCCGUGGGUCAGGAGAUCAGAAACGAUUCUGUUUCAAGGUCUCUCUCAGGGCUGCAACCGAGAUGUUGGCAAGGCUGGGAUCUCAUCUGAAGGCUAGACUGGAAAAGAAUCUACUUCCAAACCUAUGUGUUAGUUGGAAUACUUUAGUUCCUCAAGGCUGCUAGACCGAUGGGCUGUUCCUUGCCUAUGGGCCUCCCUGGUAUGGUAGCUUGCUUCAUCAAAGUGUGUAAGCACAGAAGGCAGAGAAAGUCUGCUAGCAAGAUAGAAGCCACAAUCUCUUGUGAUCUAUAUCUAUCAUUUUGCUGUAUUCUACUAGGUUAAAUAUAAGUCAUUUGGUUAGCCUACUGGCCCUCAAGGGGAGGGUAUCAUACAAAGGCAUGGAUUUCUGGAGGAGUGAAUGAGGGCAAAGACUUCUGAGAAGUCUGUCUUCCACAAUCUGCAUGAAGAACUUCUAGAAAGUGGGAGGAAGAGAUAUUGCUUAGGAAUGAACAACUGGGCACUGGUUAUAUGUUCCAAGUGAGAUAGUCUUAUUCCCAAGAAUAAAGAGAACCAGAUGACUAUAAACAUUUCUCUUAACUGAAAUGCAGACUGUUGUAUGUUCACCUGAAAUGAAUAGUAUAAUCUGGUAUAAGACUUUUGAUAAAAUAAAAAUUUUGCUGUAUUCUCAGA